rnacentral:rRNA from 1 species
AUUGAACGCUGGCGGCAGGCCUAACACAUGCCAGUCGAGCGGAUGAAGGGAGCUUGCUCCUGGAUUCAGCGGCGGACGGGUGAGUAAUGCCUAGGAAUCUGCCUGGUAGUGGGGGAUAACGUCCGGAAACGGGCGCUAAUACCGCAUACGUCCUGAGGGAGAAAGUGGGGGAUCUUCGGACCUCACGCUAUCAGAUGAGCCUAGGUCGGAUUAGCUAGUUGGUGGGGUAAAGGCCUACCAAGGCGACGAUCCGUAACUGGUCUGAGAGGAUGAUCAGUCACACUGGAACGGAGACACGGUCCAGACUCCUACGGGAGGCAGCAGUGGGGAAUAUUGGACAAUGGGCGAAGGCCUGAUCCAGCCAUGCCGCGUGUGUGAAGAAGGUCUUCGGAUUGUAAAGCACUUUAAGUUGGGAGGAAGGGCAGUAAGUUAAUACCUUGCUGUUUUGACGUUACCAACAGAAUAAGCACCGGCUAACUUCGUG